AUUGAACGCUGGCGGCAUGCCUUACACAUGCAAGUCGAACGGCAGCGGGGGAGAAGCUUGCUUUUCCUGCCGGCGAGUGGCGAACGGGUGAGUAAUACAUCGGAACGUGCCCUGUAGUGGGGGAUAACUAGUCGAAAGAUUAGCUAAUACCGCAUACGACCUGAGGGUGAAAGUGGGGGACCGCAAGGCCUCAUGCUAUAGGAGCGGCCGAUGUCUAAUUAGCUAGUUGGUGGGGUAAAGGCCUACCAAGGCGACGAUCAGUAGCUGGUCUGAGAGGACGAUCAGCCACACUGGGACUGAGACACGGCCCAGACUCCUACGGGAGGCAGCAGUGGGGAAUUUUGGACAAUGGGCGAAAGCCUGAUCCAGCAAUGCCGCGUGUGUGAAGAAGGCCUUCAGGUUGUAAAGCACUUUUGUCCGGAAAGAAAUGGCUCUGGUUAAUACCUGGGGUCGAUGACGGUACCGGAAGAAUAAGGACCGGCUAACUACGUGCCAGCAGCCGCCGCCGUAA
rnacentral:rRNA from 1 species